rnacentral:rRNA from 1 species
UACGAAGGGGGCUAGCGUUGCUCGGAAUCACUGGGCGUAAAGCGCACGUAGGCGGACUCUUAAGUCGGUGGUGAAAUCCUGGAGCUCAACUCCAGAACUGCCUUCGAUACUGGGAGUCUCGAGUCCGGGAGAGGUGAGUGGAACUGCGAGUGUAGAGGUGAAAUUCGUAGAUAUUCGCAAGAACACCAGUGGCGAAGGCGGCUCACUGGCCCGGUACUGACGCUGAGGUGCGAAAGCGGUGGGGAGCAAACAGGG